CGUGAGAGCUGUCCUGGCUCACAAUGAAUGCUAGCGAUAUGCUUAACACAUGCAAGUCGAACGUAAUAUUGAAUAUUCAAUAUUAAGUGGCGUACGGGUGAGUAAUGCAUAAGAAUUAAUCUAACAGUUCGGGAUAUAUAUAUGGUAUAACUAACCAGAAAAAUGGGUAUUUAAAAUACCUGUUUUGUAUUAAUACCGAAUAAAAAGAUUUUAUCGCUGUUAGGUGAGCUUAUGUAGGAUUAGGUAGUUGGUGGGGUAAAAGCUUACCAAGCCUUUGAUCCUUAGCUGGUCUGAGAGGAUGAUCAGCCACACUGGGACUGAGACACGGCCCUGACUCUUACGGGAGGCAGCAGUGGGGAAUAUUGGACAAUGGGCGAAAGCUUGAUCCAGCAAUAUCGCGUGAGUGAUGAAGCCUAUUUUGGUGUAAAACUCUUUCGGCAAGGAUGAUAAUGACCGUACUUGCAAAAGAAGUCCCGGCUAACUCUGUGCCAGCCGCCGCGGUAAUUC
rnacentral:rRNA from 1 species